GACGAACGCUGGCGGCAUGCCUAACACAUGCAAGUCGAACGAAAAGUCCGGGCUUAGUGGCGAAUGGGGGCGUAAAGGGGGGGGUAACGCGCUGGGGUUCGGAAUAACUCUCCGAAAGGGGUGUUAAUACCGGAUAAUGACUUCGGACCGAAGAUUUAUUGAGUUUGGAUGGGGCAGAGUUGGAUUAGUUGGUUGGUAGGGUAAAAGCUUUCCACGGGGAGGAUCCAUAGCUGGUUAGUGAGGCUGAUCAGCGACACUGGGACUGGGACACGGCCCAGACUCGUACGGGAGGCGGCAAUGGGGGAUAUAGGACAGCGGGCGAAAUGCUGAUCCAGCGAUGCCGCGUGAGUGAUGUAGGCCUUGGGGUUGUAAAGCUCUUGUACCCGGGAUGAUAAUGACGGUACCUAGAUAAUAAGCACCGGCUAACUCCGUG
rnacentral:rRNA from 1 species